rnacentral:rRNA from 1 species
CAAUAGCGUGUAUUAAAGUUGUUGCAGUUAAAAAGCUCGUAGUUGGACCUUGGACCUGGACAGGCGGUCCGCCUCACGGCGAGUACUGUCUUGCUGGGUCUUUCCUCUUGGUGAUCUGUUGUUUCGGCAGCAGGGAACCAGGACCUUUACUUUGAAAAAAUUAGAGUGUUCAAAGCAGGCUCGACGCCGGAAUAUAUUAGCAUGGAAUAAUAAAAUAGGACGUGCGGUUCUAUUUUGUUGGUUUUUGGAAUCGCCGUAAUGAUUAAUAGGGACAGUCGGGGGCAUUAGUACUCACAUGCUAGAGGUGAAAUUCUUGGAUUUUGUGAAGACUAACUUCUGCGAAAGCAUUUGCCAAGGAUGUUUUCAUUAA